AUUGAACGCUGGCGGCAGGCCUAACACAUGCAAGUCGAACGAGUGGCGGACGGGUGAGAAAUGUCUGGGAAACUGCCUGAUGGAGGGGGAUAACUACUGGAAACGGUAGCUAAUACCGCAUACCAUCAGAUGUGCCCCGAUGGGAUUAGCGAGUAGGUGGGGUAACGGCUCACCUAGGCGACGAUCACUAGCUGGGCUGAGAGGAUGACCAGCCACACUGGGACUGAGACACGGUCCAGACUCCUACGGGAGGCAGCAGUGGGGAAUCUUGCACAAUGGGCGCAAGCCUGAUGCAGCCAUGCCGCGUGUAUGAAGAAGGCCUUCGGGUUGUAAAGUACUUUCGGCGGGGAGGCGUUACCCGCAGAAGAAGCCCCGGCUAACUCCGUGCCAGCCGCCGCGGUAAUUC
rnacentral:rRNA from 1 species